GUCUCUGUGACACAAUUGUUAGAGUGUUUGGCUGAUGACCGAAAGGUUGGUGGUUUGAGUACACCCAGGGACA
rnacentral:tRNA from 1 species